rnacentral:rRNA from 1 species
CCUACGGGUGGCAGCAGUGGGGAAUAUUGCACAAUGGGCGCAAGCCUGAUGCAGCCAUGCCGCGUGUGUGAAGAAGGCCUUCGGGUUGUAAAGCACUUUCAGCGGGGAGGAAGGCGUUAAGGUUAAUAACCUUGUCGAUUGACGUUACCCGCAGAAGAAGCACCGGCUAACUCCGUGCCAGCAGCCGCGGUAAUACGGAGGGUGCAAGCGUUAAUCGGAAUUACUGGGCGUAAAGCGCGCGCAGGCGGUCUGUCAAGUCGGAUGUGAAAUCCCCGGGCUCAACCUGGGAACUGCAUUCGAAACUGGCAGGCUAGAGUCUUGUAGAGGGGGGUAGAAUUCCAGGUGUAGCGGUGAAAUGCGUAGAGAUCUGGAGGAAUACCGGUGGCGAAGGCGGCCCCCUGGACAAAGACUGACGCUCAGGUGCGAAAGCGUGGGGAGCAAACAGGAUUGAUACCCGUGUAGUC